rnacentral:rRNA from 1 species
UACGUAUGGUGCAAGCGUUAUCCGGAUUUACUGGGUGUAAAGGGAGCGCAGGCGGCACGGCAAGCCUGAUGUGAAAGCCCGCGGCCCAACCGCGGGACUGCAUUGGGAACUACCGGGCUGGAGUGCCGGAGAGGUAGGCGGAAUUCCUAGCGUAGCGGUGAAAUGCGUAGAUAUUAGGAGGAACACCAGUGGCGAAGGCGGCCUACUGGACGGUGACUGACGCUGAGGCUCGAAAGCGUGGGGAGCAAACAGG